rnacentral:rRNA from 14 species
UUGGGGUGACGGCGUGCCUUUUGAAGAAUGAGCCUGCGAGUUAGUGUCAUGUCGCGAGGUAACCCGUGUGGGGUAGUCGUAGCGAAAGCGAGUCUGAAUAGGGCGUUGAGUGGCGUGAUCUAGACCCGAAGCGAAGUGAUCUACCCAUGGCCAGGUUGAAGCGCGUGUAAGAGCGCGUGGAGGACCGAACCCACUUCAGUUGAAAAUGGAGGGGAUGAGCUGUGGGUAGGGGUGAAAGGCCAAUCAAACUCCGUGAUAGCUGGUUCUCCCCGAAAUGCAUUUAGGUGCAGCGUCGUGUGUUUCUUGCCAGAGGUAGAGCUACUGGAUGGCUGAUGGGCCCCAACGGGUUACUGACGUCAACCAAACUCCGAAUGCUGGUAAGUGAGAGCACGGCAGUGAGACUGUGGGGGAUAAGCUUCAUAGUCGAAAGGGAAACAGCCCAGACCACCGACUAAGGCCCCUAAGCGUGUGCUAAGUGGGAAAGGAUGUGGAGUUGCUCAGACAACCAGGAGGUUGGCUUAGAAGCAGCCACCCUUGAAAGAGUGCGUAAUAGCUCACUGGUCAAGUGAUUCCGCGCCGAUAAUGUAGCGGGGCUCAAGUACACCGCCGAAGUCGUGG